AGCACACGCUGGCCCUCCUCCGGUCCCGGCGCCCGCUGGGGGGCGGCUCUGCGGUCUCAUCGCCAUCCUCGUGCCGCAGUGCCACCUGAAAAAGCAGACAGCGCCCGGUGCAAGAUAUGGCACGCCCGAGCCAGCCCUGGCCAAGUCCAGCAGCCUCUCUGACCUGGCAACCGAGGAACUACACAGUCCUACGUCCCCAAAGGUGUCAAUUCUCCAGCCACAUAGGUGCUCUUGGUUACAUUUUACAACUCAGACCUGACGGGUGAGAGAACGGAGAAUAUAAAGACCCAGAUGGCUAAUCGUGCAAUAUGGCUCUAACAUCACCUACCUAUAGAAAACCGACCUAUUGCGAAAUCAGUGGUGCCCCGUGUCCAAAGUGUUCACACCUGUGCUCAUCUAGCAAGGUGAGCUUGGCUGUGUCAAGACCAGGUGGGCCACUCUCGUCCCAUUUCACAGGGAUGAACACCUAGGCCACGCGGCCUGUUUCACAGGGGUGCACCCACCAUCCACAUGCCCCAGGUCCAGUUUCCUCUGGCUCUGGCUUUUGCGUGAGAUCGAUUUUGUGAAACCUCUUCUAUCUUCGUGCCAGAUACAUUUUAUAACAAGCUCACACAGAGGAGGACAAUUUGAUAAUAUUGUGACUAUUUGUUCUCCCAGAAUUUACUAGUCAGACAUAAUGUUGGGAGGUUUGACGUAAAUAUUGAUAAGAGUUCAGAAAAAGCCCUGUCAUAAAAUGUCAUUGGAAAGUC